GAACUGCGAUAAGUAAUGUGAAUUGCAGAAUUCAGUGAAUCAUCGAGUCUUUGAACGCACAUUGCGCCCCCUGGCAUUCCGGGGGGCAUGCCUGUCCGAGCGUCAUUGCUGCCCUUCAAGCCCGGCUUGUGUGUUGGGUCGUCGUCCCCCCCGGGGGACGGACCCGAAAGGCAGCGGCGGCACCGUGUCCGGUCCUCGAGCGUAUGGGGCUUUGUCACCCGCUCGAUUAGGACCGGCCGGGCGCCCGCCGGCGUCAAACCCCAAUCUUUCUAAGGUUGACCUCGGAUCAGGUAGGGAUACCAGCUGAACUUAAGC
rnacentral:misc_RNA from 1 species